ACUCCCCUUUGCUUCAACCACAGAAUUCAGACCAUUGGUGGCUCAUUCGCGUGUUGACACAUGUCAUUGUUUGUUUUACAAAAAGGCCCUUAAGUUCUUGGAAUCAACCUGCAGUCGAAACCCUUCCCAUCAGACCAUCUUGCAUCGUGACCUAUCGAUCCCCAUCUCUCCUUUCUCUCCUCUUCAUGUCGCCGCCGCCGCCGCCUUUCUCUCCUCUCCCCGCCACUGACGCCGUCUCCUCCGCACCUCCACCCCCUGCGGAACCUCCACACAGGCGUCGCUCGAGAUGGAAGCCGCAUGGCCUUUGCGGCACAGGGCGCACAAGAUCAGAAGGCGCAUAAUUGGGGUGCCAGCUCCCACGCUUGUCAUGGUCGGCAGAGGAGGAGGUAUUGCUGGACCCUCCCUUCCCUCUCCUCCCCCAUCACCACCUCCAUACCGGCAUGAGCAUCGUUGUUGCUCCUCAGUUCGUGAGAGAGGGAUCUCCACCUUCUUUAUCGUGUCUUUGGAACGACAACACACUAUGGUCUUGCCCGCCUCUUCUCAAGUCGUCGUUGUCUUCCAUUAGAGCAUCUCCAAGAGAUUAGCUAAAUCAUUUUCUAAAGGUAAAUUUAGCUAUUGUUGAAGGAAAAACGUUUCCAACAGACUCUGUAAAUGACUCUUCAAAUUUAGUAGCUCUCUAUCCCACAUUAUUCGCUCUCUACUUUUGGAUAGUCUACCUCACUAGCCAUCCUUUACAGAGUCUGUUGGAGUACUCUAAUAAUUUUUUAUCAAAACUAUUUUAAAGAAUAGCUAAAUCGGUAAAUUUAGCUAAUAUUUUUGACUAAUCUCUUGGAGAUACUCUUAAAUCCCAGCAAGGCAGCAAUACAGUGUGCAAGCAGUGAAUCUUUAUUCACGAGUGGUGCCGGUGAGCUUCCCUUCCCCAUUUCUACUGCUUUGAUCCGCUCCUGUUGCCUGCUUCGUUCUUUGUUGUUGCUCUGGAAAAAAAACAGGGUCACGGGUACUCUCAUGCUGAGCAACAGCCUAGAGCUAACGAAGCGAAUCAACCAAGCAACUUAUUCUUUUGUCUUCUCCUUCACUCAGGCUCUCUUGAUGCGACAUGGAGGCAAGGUCCUCCACGUGGAUCUCGGCGCCAGCUAUCAGAUCCG
rnacentral:lncRNA from 1 species